rnacentral:rRNA from 1 species
AUGCUGGAGGUAUCAGAAGUGCGAAUGCUGACAUAAGUAACGAUAAAGCGGGUGAAAAGCCCGCUCGCCGGAAGACCAAGGGUUCCUGUCCAACGUUAAUCGGGGCAGGGUGAGUCGACCCCUAAGGCGAGGCCGAAAGGCGUAGUCGAUGGGAAACAGGUUAAUAUUCCUGUACUUGGUGUUACUGCGAAGGGGGGACGGAGAAGGCUAUGUUGGCCGGGCGACGGUUGUCCCGGUUUAAGCGUGUAGGCUGGUUUUCCAGGCAAAUCCGGAAAAUCAAGGCUGAGGCGUGAUGACGAGGCACUACGGUGCUGAAGCAACAAAUGCCCUGCUUCCAGGAAAAGCCUCUAAGCAUCAGGUAACAUCAAAUCGUACCCCAAACCGACACAGGUGGUCAGGUAGAGAAUACCAAGGCGCUUGAGAGAACUCGGGUGAAGGAACUAGGCAAAAUGGUGCCGUAACUUCGGGAGAAGGCACGCUGAUAUGUAGGUGAAGUCCCUCGCGGAUGGAGCUGAAAUCAGUCGAAGAUACCAGCUGGCUGCAACUGUUUAUUAAAAACACAGCACUGUGCAAACACGAAAGUGGACGUAUACGGUGUGACGCCUGCCCGGUGCCGGAAGGUUAAUUGAUGGGGUCAGCGCAAGCGAAGCUCUUGAUCGAAGCCCCGGUAAACGGCGGCCGUAACUAUAACGGUCCUAAGGUAGCGAAAUUCCUUGUCGGGUAAGUUCCGACCUGCACGAAUGGCGUAAUGAUGGCCAGGCUGUCUCCACCCGAGACUCAGUGAAAUUGAACUCGCUGUGAAGAUGCAGUGUACCCGCGGCAAGACGGAAAGACCCCGUGAACCUUUACUAUAGCUUGACACUGAACAUUGAGCCUUGAUGUGUAGGAUAGGUGGGAGGCUUUGAAGUGUGGACGCCAGUCUGCAUGGAGCCGACCUUGAAAUACCACCCUUUAAUGUUUGAUGUUCUAACGUUGACCCGUAAUCCGGGUUGCGGACAGUGUCUGGUGGGUAGUUUGACUGGGGCGGUCUCCUCCUAAAGAGUAACGGAGGAGCACGAAGGUUGGCUAAUCCUGGUCGGACAUCAGGAGGUUAGUGCAAUGGCAUAAGCCAGCUUGACUGCGAGCGUGACGGCGCGAGCAGGUGCGAAAGCAGGUCAUAGUGAUCCGGUGGUUCUGAAUGGAAGGGCCAUCGCUCAACGGAUAAAAGGUACUCCGGGGAUAACAGGCUGAUACCGCCCAAGAGUUCAUAUCGACGGCGGUGUUUGGCACCUCGAUGUCGGCUCAUCACAUCCUGGGGCUGAAGUAGGUCCCAAGGGUAUGGCUGUUCGCCAUUUAAAGUGGUACGCGAGCUGGGUUUAGAACGUCGUGAGACAGUUCGGUCCCUAUCUGCCGUGGGCGCUGGAGAACUGAGGGGGGCUGCUCCUAGUACGAGAGGACCGGAGUGGACGCAUCACUGGUGUUCGGGUUGUCAUGCCAAUGGCACUGCCCGGUAGCUAAAUGCGGAAGAGAUAAGUGCUGAAAGCAUCUAAGCACGAAACUUGCCCCGAGAUGAGUUCUCCCUGACYCYUURAGRGUCCUGAAGGAACGUUGAAGACGACGACGUUGAUAGGCCGGRUGUGUAAGCGCAGCGAUGCGUUGAGCUAACCGGUACUAAUGAACCGUGAGGCUUAACCUU